rnacentral:rRNA from 1 species
UGCCAGCAGCCGCGGUAAUACGGAGGGGGUUAGCGUUGUUCGGAAUUACUGUGCGUAAAGCGCACGUCGGCGGAUUAGAAAGUUAGAGGUGAAAUCCCAGGGCUCAACCCUGGAACUGCCUUUAAAACUCCUAGUCUUGAGUUCGAGAGAGGUGAGUGGAAUUCCAAGUGUAGAGGUGAAAUUCGUAGAUAUUUGGAGGAACACCAGUGGCGAAGGCGGCUCACUGGCUCGAUACUGACGCGGAGGUGAGAAGGUGUGGGGAGCAAACAGGAGUAGAUC